ACGCUGGCGGCGUGCUUAACACAUGCAAGUCGAACGAAGAUAUUUAAAAUGAGAGCUUCGGCAGGAUUUUUAUCUAUCUUAGUGGCGGACGGGUGAGUAACGUGUGGGCAACCUGCCCUGUACUGGGGAAUAAUCAUUGGAAACGAUGACUAAUACCGCAUGUGGUCCUCGGAAGGCAUCUUCUGAGGAAGAAAGGAUUUAUUCGGUACAGGAUGGGCCCGCAUCUGAUUAGCUAGUUGGUGAGAUAACAGCCCACCAAGGCGACGAUCAGUAGCCGACCGGAGAGGGUGAUCGGCCACAUUGGGACUGAGACACGGCCCAAACUCCUACGGGAGGCAGCAGUGGGGAAUAUUGCACAAUGGGCGAAAGCCUGAUGCAGCAACGCCGCGUGAAGGAUGAAGGGUUUCGGCUCGUAAACUUCUAUCAAUAGGGAAGAAAGAAAUGACGGUACCUAAAUAAGAAGCCCCGGCUAACUACGUGCCAGCAGCCGGCGGUAAUACGUAGGGGGCAAGCGUUAUCCGGAAUUACUGGGUGUAAAGGGAGCGUAGGCCGGCUGGUAAGCCAGAUGUGAAAGCCUUGGGCUUAACCCGAGGAUUGCAUUUGGAACUAUCAAGCUAGAGUACAGGAGAGGAAAGCGGAAUUCCUAGUGUAGCGGUGAAAUGCGUAGAUAUUAGGAAGAACACCAGUGGCGAAGGCGGCUUUCUGGACUGAAACUGACGCUGAGGCUCGAAAGCGUGGGGAGCAAACAGGAUUAGAUACCCUGGUAGUCCACGCCGUAAACGAUGAGUGCUAGGUGUCGGGGAGGAAUCCUCGGUGCCGCAGCUAACGCAAUAAGCACUCCACCUGGGGAGUACGACCACAAGGUUGAAACUCAAAGGAAUUGACGGGGGCCCGCACAAGCGGUGGAGCAUGUGGCUUAAUUCGAAGCAACGCGAAGAACCUUACCAAGGCUUGACAUCCCGAUGACCGUCCUAGAGAUAGGACUUCUCUUCGGAGCAUCGGUGACAGGUGGUGCAUGGUUGUCGUCAGCUCGUGUCGUGAGAUGUUGGGUUAAGUCCCGCAACGAGCGCAACCCUUAUCUUCAGUAGCCAUCAUUCAGUUGGGCACUCUGGAGAGACUGCCGUGGAUAACACGGAGGAAGGUGGGGAUGACGUCAAAUCAUCAUGCCCCUUAUGUCUUGGGCUACACACGUGCUACAAUGGCUGGUAACAAAGUGACGCAAAACGGCGACGUUAAGCAAAUCACAAAAACCCAGUCCCAGUUCGGAUUGUAGUCUGCAACUCGACUACAUGAAGCUGGAAUCGCUAGUAAUCGCGAAUCAGCAUGUCGCGGUGAAUACGUUCCCGGGCCUUGUACACACCGCCCGUCACACCAUGGGAGUUGGAAGCACCCGAAGUCGGUGACCUAACCGUAAGGAAGGAGCCGCCGAAGGUGAAGCCAGUGACUGGG
rnacentral:rRNA from 1 species